rnacentral:rRNA from 1 species
CUGAAUAACUCAGCUGAUCGCACAGUCCUAGCACUGGGGACAUAUCUUUCAAGUGUCUGCCUUAUCAACUGUCGAUGGUAGUUUACAUGAUUACCAUGGUUGUAACGGGUAACGGAGAUAAGGUUUCGACUCCGGAGAGGGAGCCUGAAAAAGGGCUACCACAUCCAAGGAAGGCAGCAGGGCGCAAAUUACCCAAUCUCAGCUCGAGGAGGUAUGACGAAAAAUAACAGGAUGGUUCUCUAUGAGGUCCGUCAUCGGAAUGGGACAAUUUUAAACCCUUUAACGAGGAUCUAUUGGAGGGCAAGUCUGGUGCCAGCAGCCGCGGUAAUUCCAGCUCCAAUAGCGUAUAUUAAAGUUGUUGCGGUUAAAAAG